GAUCGCAGAGAGCAGAGAGAGAGAGAGUCCUCCUCACUGUGAUCACAGGCUGUCACACACCACGGACCCACACACCGACCGGACAGGGACUGUUCAGACCCACACAUCGGUGCUUCCAUCACCGGGCAGGGCGCGCCGUCCUGGGGGUGAACUCUGCACGGAGUCAGCCUCUUCCUCUGGAGCUCUGGAGCUCUGUGCUCAGCUCCGCCACCUGCUUCCCUCGAUCUGUCUCCUCUGCAUGUUCCUGUGUGUGUGCAUGAGGACAGUUUUUUGCAGAGCUGUUUAAUGUGAGUGUUUCUCACUCACACACUCACACACACACACACGUUACUACCGGAUUGGACGCGAUGCCUCCUCCUCCUCCUCCUCCUGCAGAGCUUUAUCCCUCUUUCUGGAUGGAUUUCUGAAUGGUUUACUUACACACUGGAUUAGGAUAUGGAGUGACUCCUGCUUUGGGAAGUACAAACCUGCAGAACUACAGAAACAGUUGUUGAAUGGACCCGCUCUCAUCGGUCUGUGUGCUCGGCCGCAGCAGGAAACAGGAGGUUUGUCUCGGGAUGCAUCGUUGGAAGGAGAUGCAGUUUGAGGAGGUGUGUGAGCGAGCGGUUCAUGGUGGUCGAUGCAAUGAUGGAAGAGGAAACAUGCACCUGCAGUUACCUACAGUAACCACAGGUGCUGCCUUUUCAUCAGCGAUGGACAGCAUCAGCGGGCUGAGGUUGUUUGUUGGUGAUUUAUUCAGAGAUAAAUAAACAUUUACAGCAAAUUCAA